AACCGUUCGGGGGUAAACGGACAGAGCCCGUGAAUCCGGGCGCGCGGAAUUCAGGACCGACGGGCGGGUCCGUCGAUUCGAUAUUUCCGCCGCCGACCUNUAAUCGGUGCGGACGUCGCGACCCGUUCGCCGUCGGUCUGGCGAGUCGCGUUUCAAGUUCGNUCGCGCGCGCGCUCUCGCGGGCGGCGAUGGCGCGUUUCUCGGGCGCGAACGCGGACGGUAGCUGCAGUGCGGGUAUUCGACGCGGCCGAUCGACGGACCUUCGCGUUCGUCGGGUGCGCGCGUCGACGCCGGUCAGCGACGAAUCUUCGGGCCUCUUUCCGACCCGUCUUGAAACACGGACCAAGGAGUCUAACGUGCGCGCGAGUCGCGGGGUACUCGGGUCGUUACGCGACCCGUUACUAUACGAAACCCGUUCACGUACGUUGUGCGAAGGCGUAAUGAAAGUGAGGUGACNNNCCUUCGGGGUUACCGGGGAAGACGGCGUUCCGAGUACACGUUUCUCGGUCGAUCGUAUCCGAGACCGGACGCCCGCAUUCCCGGGGCGUCCCGCUCGUCCGUCGACGGCGCGGACGCGCGUCGGCCGUCGUCGAACUGGGGCGCACCCACAGCGUGCACGUUGGUACCCGAAAGAUGGUGAACUAUGCCCGGCCAGGAUGAAGUCAGGGGAAACCCUGAUGGAGGUCCGCAGCGAUUCUGACGUGCAAAUCGAUCGUCUGAGCUGGGUAUAGGGGCGAAAGACUAAUCGAACCAUCUA
rnacentral:rRNA from 1 species